rnacentral:lncRNA from 1 species
CUUGAACCCGCAAGAUGAAGGUUGCAGUGAGCCGAGGUCAUAUCAUGACACUCCAGCCCGGGCGACAGAGCUGUCUCAAAAAAAAUUGCGUCUGAUCCACCAUGCUCUGUGCUUACCUCUUCUGCAGUGCUGUCUUAGUGACACAAGGAAUGAUGCAUAGACUUCCCUUCCUGGGGCCUCUCUAUGCGUCUUGCCUGCUCUGCAUUCCCCUGCUCAGACAUCAGACUGAUAAACAUUUGGGGAAUGGAAGAGGGAAGAAUUCUAGAACCCACCAAGGAGGCACGCGUGGACACGCUUUUCCCUGAGACUUACUGGCCUCAGCACUGGCCUAAACCUUCCCAGAACCCUGAGUGAACAUUACUGGAAGCCUCAGGAGAGAGUCUCCAGCUAGAUCUGCAUUUGUACAACUGUCGGGAUUCUGCCUCCUUUUAAGUCUUAAAUCAGCCAUUGACAGGUUUGCAACAUAAAGCCAAGAUGGAACUCUCCCAGGUAUUCAAGCCUGGAAACAAGUAGAGAUAAACAAAGAUAGUAGCAUUUGAGGCAAACGCACUGUCUUUAAGCUACGCUGGAGUCCGUUUGGGCCUUUGUGGGAGGGCUGGUGAGAUCCCUAACAGAAACAAAAGGAAGGAACAAAUAUCCUCUCUCCCUGUGCUUUGCUGCUCCAGUAACCUGGACUUGGCCAAUCAGAUGCUCCUGUCCAACACCGUGAGGUCAUCUGUGGAAAUAUCCAGCACUGAGUUCGUGAAGAAUGGGUAUUAAAUCUUUAGAUGUUCAGUGGAAUUCAUUCAUGAAGACAUCUGAGACUGCACUUUUCUUUCCCUGGCACCAGAGAGAUGAGAGGAGAAACCUGACAAUAUCCCCAGCCUGAGCCAUCACCAGACUCCAUCCUCCUGAGUGCCCCUGAACCAGCAUCACCGCUGAACACUCUGGAAGACCUACAGAAACUGAGAGAAGGUUCUGCAAAGAGCUGUAAGGAUGCACUGAAUAUUUGCCGUUGCGGAUGAGGCUGCUGGAGCAUUGGAGAUCCAUUCAUCAUGCCAAAGUGUAGCUCAGGGAGUCACCUCCAUGGAAAAUGUGUGCUUUCCAAACGUGGCUACCAGGUCGUUGUGGAAUUCCAUCCAGAAGCACCUUGUUCUUCCAUCGCCAUCAUUCUGGACAAGGCAGAAUCCACAUUCCCCAUAUUACUAACUUUAAAGCAGAAAUGUUACGCCUUUGCCUGUAAUUGAAAUUGUAGUCAUUUGAAAAUCAAAUAUUGCUAAAAUUUGAUGUUAGAGGGAUAGAUGAUCAAUAAUUGGGUUGAAAGAAUACUGUCUCUCAUUAAGCAAAAUGAAAAUGUUUUCAGAGAUUUGUGAAAUGUUUUGCUAUGAAGACUUUUCACUGCAAAGCACCCACUUUGUUUAAAGCAAUAAGGCAACGUGCUGGAUGAACGUAAAGAAGUUUUCAACACAGAACUUCACAAUAAAAAUGGUAAAUACUGACAAUCACAGACCUAGAGUACUGCUUUUUCUUAAGAAUGUCUUUUCCAACCCCUGGCACCAGUAGAUGCCUUCCACCUUGGGACAGUCUUGAAAAUUACGGCCCGGUAAUUAUCAUCUUUAGGGAUGAUGUAAGACCAUAUUAUAUGGAAGAUUAUAUGAAGAUUCACAGACUACUGAAAAGACAGGUAUUCAGGGGCAUUUCAUGGAGUUCAAGAGGAGAAGGAUAAAGGAUAACCAUCUUCAAUGUAUACGUUUGGGAAGGCAGUUUUGUGGGCACAUUGCUUUAUACCCAUAGGCACUACACUUAUUUCUCUGUUGCUGAAAACAACAGAACCACAGCAUUGACUGCAUGGGUAUUGGUGGUAUUUCAGUGUCUUGGUAUAUCACGAACCAGAUAGGAACUUGUUAAGUUUGAAGGAUGAGGUUGCUGGGAUUUUGUGUGUGGGAGAAGGGGAUGCUUCGUUCUAUGGCUUUUGAGAUAGAGAUGGAAAAGAAACAGUCAGGGAGGAGAAUGAAGAGAGAAGAGUGAAGCCACAACAGGGGAUCACGUGUAGGGGUCUCCAGAACUGAAGCCUGUGGUGAGAGGUGGAGAAGAGAAAGGCAUAGUCAGGUGUCACAGCACUUAAUUUCCUCAUCAGCAGCUUAAAAUUUGGUUUCGCACACUGGCUGAGAUGGGGAGUGUCAAAUUGACCUCUGCUAAACCUCUGAGGAUGUGAGUGCUGUAGGGAAGAGAGCAGGUGAAAUAAAUUCCAUAUAACCAAGCAAACAGAGUAAAUAUCUCUCUCUCUCUCUCUCUCUCUCACUCUCUCUCACACACACACACACACACAAACACACACACACAAUUCUCAUUAACAAAAUUAUGGGGAAAAAACAACCUUUCUACCACAGUUACAAGGUCUCAAAUUUGUAAUCUGUAAAUUCCUUUUUUUCAAAAAAGCACUAGCUUUUCUUCUGAGACCUUAUUAGAUGGCAGGCCGGUGCUACGUGUGUUAGGUACACAUUCCUUUGUGUUCACAUAAGUAACUCGUUGCAUUUAUGAAAGCAAUGAAUUAAUCCUAUUCUUGUAGGUCCAAGUGACCAGGCCUUCAUAUGGGAGAGGAUCUCCUGCAGCGUCCAGAGGAGAAGGUGAUUAUGUCUCUCUAGGCUCAUUGGACAAAAUCAGUUAAAUUGUGUUCCAAAAGCUGUAUGGCUGCAGACACUGUGAACAGCAGGAAAGCCUUUUCACAGUUCAAGGAGCCUUGCUGCCUGAGAUGAGAGCUGCCAGGGAUGGCAAAGUAUCAAGCAUUUUUUUCUAUGGCUACUUAGUAUUGGAUAAAAAUUUGCCCACCAAUCCAUCUCACCCUGAUGUUUCAAUAAAUAGCCCGUGUUUUAAUAGUCACAUGGGAGGGUUGUGCUUUAAAAAGUUAUAGUCUAUCAGAUUCUGCACUCUCUUUUGUAUCCAAACGCACAAAAGGAAGGUUGAAAUUCUAAUAGAGAAUGUUUUCAGUUAAAAUCCAUUCUCAAUGAUAAAAUUAGGUAACCUUAUUCUUUUCAUAGACUAUUUUUUUCUUCCACGAUCACACAGGGAUUUUCAAAUAUUUGUCUUGAAUGUCAAGUUUUACUCUUCGGUGCUGUGCUAAAGACACGACUGUAGCAAUUAGAAAAGUGUUCAGAUAACCACCUACAAGAUGACAAAUGGCUCAGCCUUGAAUUGAAAAGAUUAAAGGACUAUGCACAUUUCAUCUGAAAAGAAUGGUUAUUUAAUGAUGAUUUUUAUAUACCAUGCAUGGUUGCUGCACAGAAAUUGGCCAGUAAGUAUUUCCCAUCUUUAUUUGAAAAGAUAAUAGGAAGAAAUAGAAUUAGGCAGCAGCACAUAGGAUUCAACUCAGGCUUAAGGAAGGACCUUGACAGGGGGAUUAGUACAAAUAUGGGAGACAGACAGAAUGUCUUCUCUAGUGGUUACACAGAGGUAGGUGAGGCUAUUGUCCACUUGUCUUUUUAGAUAUGGUCUUGCCUGAUGGCAAUGAGAUCAAAUUCAAACACUUAUUCAGGUUUCUGAUAUUUUGUCUUAUGCAUUUUGGCAUGUAAAGCUAUUAAACAGAAUACCAAAAAGCAUUAGAGCAUAGGGAGUAAAUUGUCAUCCAGAACAAUUAAAAAAAAUCCUUGAAUAUAUGGCUGGUCUGAAACAUUCUCUUCAUUUUAUAGGAGUCAGAGUAACCUCUGAGAUAGAGGAUAUAUGUCAUUUUUAUAUUUUUAUUUGAAAUGAGUUUUUAAAGAAAAACUCUUAAAAACUGAGAGAAAAGAUUAAUUAAUCAGUGUGAUUGACUCCUUACAGCAAAUAAUAUAAACUUACUUAUGGUGAUAUUUAUAUAAUAAAUUUCAAAGUAGAAUUUUUGGAUAAUAGUUUUUCUAACUGUAGUGGAAUGCUUGGAAUAAAACUUAAAAGGUAACAAGAAACUAGAUGAGACAUUUAUCCUUUUGUAAAUAACUUUUUUUAAAGAACAGUUUUAAAUUUGCAGAAAAAUUGUGAGAACAGUACAGAGAGUGCCUAUAGGCUCCACACCCAGUUUAUCCUACGAUUAAUAUUUACAUUUGUUUGGUAUAUUUGUAACAAUGAACCAGUAUUGAUAUAGUAUUAUUGUCUAAAGGACACACUUUAUUAAAUUUUCACAAGUUUUUGUCUAACAUCUUUUUUUUCUGUUCUAAGAUCCCAUCCAGAAUACAGUACAUUUGGUCUCCUGCCUCCUUAGGAGUUCUUGGCUGUGAGUUUCUCAGACGACUUUCCUUGUUUUUGAUAACCUUGACAAGUCUGAGGAGUACUAGUCAGGUAUCUUGUAGAAUGUCCCUCACAUGGGGGUGCCUGCUGUUUUUUGUCAUGAUUAGCCUGGGGUUGUGGUUUCUUGGGAGGAAGACCAUUGAAGUAAUGUGCCAUUUCCAUCACUUCAUUGAGAGCACAUACAAUCAACAUGACUUACCGCUAGCGAUGACAAACCUGAUUGCCUGGCUGAGGUUGUUGUCAGUUUUCCCCACUGCAAAAUUACUCUUUUUCCCUCUCUCUUCCAUACUGCACUCUUUGGAAGUUACAGUGCCCAGCCUACACUUCAGGAGUGGGGAGUUAGAAUCCACCUCAUGGAGGGCAGAGCAGCUAUGUAAAUUGUCUGUAAUUCUUCUGCAUAGGAGACAUUUCUUCUUUCUCAUUUAUUGAUUGAAUCACAUAUUUAUAUCACUCUGGAUUCAUAGAUAUUUAUUUUGUGCUUUGGGCAAUAAUCCAAUACUAUUUUUCUGACUUGUUGCUCAGGUGGUUCUAGCUUUGGUUAUCGGGGCUCUUUAAGUUGACCCUGGUGCUUUUUUGACCUACCCCACCAUUAGUUUUUUCUUUUCCACCUUUUAAGUUCAGGAGUACAUGUGCAGGAUGUGCAGGUUUGUUACAUAGGUAAAUGUGUGCCAUGGCGGUUUGCUGCACAGAUCGUCCCAGGUAUUAAGCCCAGCAUCCAUUAGCUAGUUUUCUUGAUCCUCUCCUUCCUCCCAUGCUCCACCAUCAGACAGGCCCAAGUAUGUGUUGCUCACACCCAUGUGUCCAUGUGUUCUCAUCAUUUAGCUCCCACUUAUAAGUGAGAACAUGUGGUAUUUGGUUUUCCAUUUCUGUGUUAGUUUGCUAAGGAUAAUGCACUCCAGCUGCAUCCAUGUCCCUGUAAAGAACAUGAUCUCAUUCUUUUUAUGGCUGCAUAAUAUUCCAUGGUGUAUAGGUACCACAUUUUCUGUAUCCAGUUUAUCAUUGAUGGGCACCUAGGUUUUUUUUUUUUUUUUGUCUUUGCCAUUGUGAUACUGCAGUGAUGAAUAUAUGAGUUCAUGUGUCUUUAUGAUAGAAUGAUUUAUAUUCCUUUGGGCAUAUACCCAGUCACAGGAUUGCUGGGUCGAAUGAUAUUUCUGCCUCUAGGUCUUUAAGGAAUUGCCAUAUUGUCUUCCACAAUGGCUGAACUAAUUUAUACUCCCACCCACAGUGUAAAAUUGUUCCUUUUCCUCAACAACCUCACCAGCAUCUGUUGUUUUUUGAUUAUUUACUAAUAUGUGAAACGGUAUCUCAUUUUGGUUUUGAUUUGCAUUUCUCUAAUGAUAAGUGAUGUUGAGCUUUUUUUCAUGUUUGUUGGCCACGUAUGUGUCUUCUUUUGAGAAGUGUCUGUUGUUCGUGUCCUUUGCCCACUUUUUAAUGGGGUUAUUUUUUUCUUGUAAAUUUGUUUAAGUUCCUUACAGAUACUGGAUAUUAGAACUUUGUCAGAUGGGUAGUUUGCAAAUAUUUUCGUACAUUCUGUAGGUUGUCUGUUUACUCUGUUGAAGUUUCUUUUGCUGUGCACAGGUUCUUUAGUUUAAUUAGAUACCAUUUUUCAAUUUUUGCUUUUGUUGCAAUUGCUUUUGGCACCUUCAUCAUGACAUCUUUGCCUGUGCCUGUGUCCUGAAUAGUAUUGCCUCAGUUUUAUUCUAGGGUUUUUAUAGCUCUGGACUUUAUAGUUAAGUCUUCAAUCCAAAUUGAGUUGAUUUUUGUAUAUAGUGUAAGGAAGAGGUCCAGUUUUAAUUUUCUGCAUAUGGCUGGCCAGUUCUCCCAGCACCAUUUAUUAAAUAGGAAAUCCUUUCCCCAUUGCUUGUUGUUGUCAGGUUUGUCAAAGAUAAAGUGGUGGUAGGUGUGUGAUCUUGUUACUCAUUCACUAUUCUGUUCCAUUGGUCUGUGUGUCUGUUCUUAUACCAGUGCCAUGCUGUUUUGGUUACUGUAGCCCUGUAGUACAGUUUGAAGUCGGGAAGCAUGAUGCUUCCAGCUUUGUUCUUUUUGCUUGGGAUUGCCUUGGCUAUUCGGGCUCUUUUUUGGUUCUAUAUAAAUUUUACAAUACAUUUUUUCUAAUACUGUGAAGAAUGUCAAUGAUAGUUUAACGGGAAUAGCAUUGAAUCUAUAAAUUUCUUUGAGCACUACGGCCAUUUUCACGACAUUGAUUCUUCCUAUCCAUGAGCAUGAAGGUUUUUCCAUUUGUUUGUGUCAUCUCUAAUUUAUUUAAGCAGUUAUUUAUAGUUCUCUUUGAAGAGAUCUUUCACUUCCCUUGUUAACUGUAUUCUUAGGUAUUUUAUUCUUUUUGUGACAGUUGUUAAUGGGAGUUCAUUCAUGAUUUGGCUCUUGGCUUGCCUGUUAUUGUUGUAUAGAAAUGCUAGUGAUUUUUGCACAUUGAUUUUGUAUCCUGAGACUUUGCUGAACUUGUUUAUCAGCUUAAGAAGCUUUUCAGUUGAGAUGAUGGGGUUUUCUAGAUAUAGGAUUAUGUCAUCUGCAAGCAAAGAUAGUUUGACUUUCUCUCUUCCUAUUUGAAUAUCCUUUACUUCUUUCUCUUGCCUGAUUGCCCUAGUCAGAACUUCCAAUAUUAUGUUGAAUAGGAGUGGUGAGAGAGGGCAACCUUGUCUUGUGCCAGUUUUCAAGGGGAAUGCUUCCAGCUUUUGCCCAUUCAGUAUGAUAUUGGCUGUGAGUUUGUCAUAAAUGGCUCUUAUUAUUUUGAGGUAUAUUCCUUCAAUACCUAGUUUAUUGAGAGUUUUUAACAGGAAGUGAUGUUGAAUUUUAUUGAAGGCCUUUUCUGCAUCUAUUGAGAUAAUUAUGUGGUUUUUGCCCUUAGUUCUGUUUAUGCGAUGAAUCACAUUUAUUGAUUUGCAUAUUUUGAAUAAGCCUUGCAUCCCAGGGAUGAAGCCUACUUGAUCGUUGUGGAGAAGCUUUUUGAUGUGCUGCUGGAUUUGGUUUGCCAGUAUUUUGUUAAGAACUUUUGCGUCAAUGUUCAUCAAGAAUAUUGGCCUGAAAUUUUCUUUUUUAUUGUAUCUCUGCCAGGUUUUGGUAUCAGGAUGAUGCUGGCCUCAUAGAAUGAGUUAUGGACGAGUCCCUUCUUUUCAAUUUUUUGGAAUAGUUUCACUAGGAAUGGUACCAGCUCUUCUUUGUAACUCUGGUAGAAUUCAGCUAUAAAUCUGCCUGGUCCUGGGCUUUUUUGGGUUGGUGGACUAUUUAUUACUGCUUCAGUGUCAGAAUUGUUAUUGGUCUGUUCACAUAUUCAAUUUCUUCCUGAUUCAAUCUUGGGAGGGUACAUGUGUCCAGGAAUUUAACUAUUGCUUCUAUAUUUUCUAAUUUAUGUGCAUAGAGUUGUUUAUAGUAUUCUCUGAUGGUUGUUUGUAUUUCUGUGGGGUCAGUGGUGAUAUCCCCCUUAUCAUUUCUGAUUAUGUUUAUUUGAAUCUUGUCUCUUUUCUUCUUUAUUAGUCUAGCUAGUGGUCUAUUUUAUUAAUUUUUUUGCAGAAAAACAACUGCUGGAUUUGUUGAUUUUUGAAGGUAUUUUUUUGUGUCUCUAUUUCCUUCCAGUUCACCUCUGGUCUUAGUUAUUUCUUGUCUUCUGCUAGCUUUGGGGCUUGUUUGCUCUUGGUUCUCUAGGUCUUUUAGUUAUGAUGUUAGGUUGUUAAAUUGAGAUCUUUCUAGCUUUUCAAUGUAAGCAUCUAGUGUUGUAAAUUUCCCUCAUAACACUGCUUUGGCUGCCUCCCAGAGAUUCUAGUACACUGUAUCUUUCUUCUCAUUAGUUUCAAAGAACCUCUUGAUUUCUGACUUACUUUCAUUUUUUCCCCAAAAGUCAUUCAGGAGCAGGUUGUUCAAUUUCCACGUAGUUGUAUGGUUUUUAGUUAACUUCUUAAUCUUGAAUUCUAAUUUGAUUGCUCUGUGGUCUGAGGACUGCUUGUUAUGAUUUCAGUUCUUCUGCAUUUGCUGAGGACUCUUUUACUUCCAAUUAUGUGAUCAAUUUUAGAGUAAGGCCACGUGGCAAUGAGAAGAAUGUAUAUUCUUUUGUUUUGGGGUGGAGAGUUCUGUAGAUGUCUAUCAGGUCCACUUGAUUCAGAGCUUAGUUUAGGUCUUGAAUUUCUUUGUUAAAUUUCUGUCUUGAUGAUGUCUACUAUUGACAGUGGGGUAUUAAAGUCUUCCACUAUUAUUGUGUGGGAGUCUAAGUCUCUUUGUAGGUCUCUAAGAACUUGCUAUGUGAAUAUGGGUGCUCCUGUAUUGGGUGCAUAUAGGAUAGUUAGCUCUUCCUGUUGAAUUGAACCCUUUGCCAUCAUGUAAUGCCCUUCUUUGCUUUUUUGAUCUUUGUUGGUUUAAGUCUGUUUUGUCAGAAACUAGGAUUGUAAUUCCUGCUUUUUUCUAUUUUCCAUUUACUUGGCAAAUUUUCCUCCAUCACUGUAUUUUGAGCCUAAGUGUAUCUUUGCACCUGAGAUGGCUCUCUUGAAGACAGCAGACUGAUGUGGCUUGACUCUUUAUCUUGCUUGCAUUCUAUGUCUUUUAAUUGGGGCAUUUAACCCAUUUACAUUUAAGGUCAGUAUUGUUAUGUGUGAAUUUGAUUCCAUCAUCAUGAUGCUAGCUGGUUAUUUUGCAGACUUGUUUAUGUGGCUGCUCCAUAAUGUCACUGGUCUGUCUACUUCAGUGUGUUUUUGUAGUGGCUGGUAACAGUUUUUCCUUUCAGUAUUUAGUUCUUCCUUCAGGAGGCUUUGUAAGGCAGGUCUGGUGGUAACAAAUUUCUUCAGCAUUUGCUUGUCUGAAAAGGAUCUUAUUUCUCCUUUGCUUAUGAAGCUUAGUUUGGCAGGACAUGAAAUUCUGGGUUGGAAAUUCUUUUCUUUAAGAAUGUUGAAUAUUGGCUCCAGUCUUUUCUGGCUUGUAGGGUUUCUACUGAGAGGUCUGCUGUUAGUCUGAUGUUCCUUUUGUAGGUGACGUGGCCCUUCUCUCUGGCUUCCCUUAACAUUUUUUCUUUCAUUUUGAUCUUGGAGAAUCUGAUGAUUAUGUGUCUGGUGGUUGAUCUUCUCAUGGAGUAUCUUACUGGAGUUGUCUGCAUUUCUUGAUUUUGAAUGUUGGCCUGUCUUAGAAAAGUUCUCCUGGAUGAUAUCCUGAAAUAUGUUUUCUAAAUUGGCUCCAUUCUCCCUGUUUCCUUCAGGUACCCCAGUUAGUUGUAGAUUUGGUCUCUUUACAUAAUCCCGUAUUUCUCAGAGGUUUUAUUCAUUCCUUCUCAUUCUUUUUUUUCUCUAUUCUUGUCUGCCUGUCUUAUUUCAGAAAGAUACUCUUUAAGCUCCAAGAUUCUUUCCUCCGCUUGGUCUAUUCUGCUAUUAAUACUUGUGACUGCAUUGUGAAGUUCUUGUGGUGUGUUUUGCAGCUCCAUCAGGUUGGUUAUGUUCCUCUCCAUACUGGCUAUUUUGGCUGUCAGCUCCUGCAUUGUUUUAUCCUGAUUCUUAGUUUCUUUGAAUCGGGUUACAAUAUCUCCUUUAGCUCAGCAAAAUUUGUUUUUAUUCACUUUCUGAAGCCUACUUCUGUCAUUUCAGCCAUCUCAGCCUCAGCCCAGUUCUGAGCCCUUGCUAGAGAGGUGUUGCAGUUAUUUGGAGGAGAGGGGGCCCUCUGGAUUUUUGAGUUUUCAGCAUCUUUAUGUUGAUUCUUUCUCAUCUUUGUGGGCCUAUCUACCUUUGAUUUUUGAGGCUGCUGACCUUUGGAUGGAGUUUUUGGUUUUGUUGUUGCUGUUGUUUGUUUUUCUUCUAAAAGUCUACCCAUUCUUUCGUAGGGCUGCUGCCGUUUUCUGGGAAUCCACUCCAGAUCUAGUCACCUCAGUUCUUCAAGUACCUGGAGGUAUCACCAGUGGAGGCUGUGAAAUGGCAUAGAUGGCAGCCUGUGCCUUCCUCUGGAAGCUCCAUCUGAGGGGUGUACUGACCUGUUGCCAGCCUCAACACGCCUGUAAGAGGUGGCUGGAGGACCCCAGUUGGGAGUUCUCACCCAGUCAGGUGAAAGGGUAUCAGGGACUCACUUAAAGAAGCAGUCUGACUGCUUUUUGGUAGAGCAGCUGUGCUGUGUUGGUGAAAUCCUUCACUGGAUCUCUUCAGCCCCCAGUCAGUUUGGUCUCUCCAAGGCCCAUAGGCUGGACUGGCUGAGAUACCCAAACAGUCAAGGUGGUGGCCUGCCCUGCCCCCUGGGCACUCUGCCCCAGGGAGAAAUUAGAACUCAGUCAGCUGUAGAACAUGGGUGGGGAUGGCCAGAGGCCCUGGUUGGGAAGACCCACCCAGUGAGGAGAAGUGGAUGUGGGCCCCAUUUAAAAAGCAGUCUGACCAUGCCUUGACAAAAUAGCCAUGCUGGGGAACUGCUUCUGCCGUGGUCAGCCUGGAGAACCCACAGGUUGGAAUGGCUGAGUUGCCCAAAUAGCCAAGGUGAUGGGGCCUCCCCUCCCCGCAGGCACUGUCCCAGGGAGAGAUCAGAGCUCUGUCCGUAGAAUAUGGGUAGGCAAGGGUAGCUGGAGGCUCUGGCUGGGAGGUCCCACCUAGUGAGGGGGAGUGGGUUGAGGUCCCACUUAAAGAAGCAGUCUACUUUGGGAGGCCGAGGUGGGCGGAUCACCUGAGGUCAAGAGUUCGAGACCAGCCUGGCCAACAUUGGCGAAACUACGUCUCUACUAAAAAUACAAAAAUUACCUGGGCAUGGUGGCAGGCAUCUGUAAUCCCAGCUACUUGGGAGGCUGGGACAGAAGAAUCACUUGAACCAGGGAGGCAGAGGUUGCAGUGAACCUAGAUGGUGCCAUUUGCACUCCAGCCUGGGCAACAGAGUGAGACUCCGUCUAAAAGAAAAAAAAAAGCAGUCUGACCAGGUUCAGGCAAAGCAGCGGUACUGCACUGGGGGGACCUUUCCUCAUCGGGACCAUUUGGAGUCUCCAAAGCCCGCAGGCUGGAAUGAUUGAGUUGACCAAACAGCAGAGAUAGCAGCCCACCCCUUUUCAGGGGCUCUAUCCCAUCUCAGGCAGGCUCCACCCUGUUGCUGGUGGCUGGCUGGAAUUCUGAGUCAGUGGGUCUUAUUUUGUGAUGUGCAGUAGAAGCAGAGCCCACAGACCAACGCUGCUCGUCUCCCUGCAUUCUCCCCCCUUCCUGGGGGUAUGUACAGACCUCCCACCUUGGCGGGGAUCCUGGGGCAGAGUAUGUCAAGUUCUCUGUGUGCCUGAGCAGCUGCUCUGCUGAGACUACACAAGUCUGUGUGUCAGACCCAACGCCCUGCUGGUGUGGGCUCACGAGGGGAUCUCCUGCUCUGAGGAUUGCAGAGAUCCAUGGGAGAAGCGUGGUUUCCUGGGGCCUCACAUUCGCUCACCAUUUUCCUCGGCUGGGGUAGAGGUUCCCUUGGCUCCAUGUCACUCGCAAGUGGGCUAUCGCUCUGCCCUGAUUUUCUUCAUCCUCCAAGGGUUCAGUUGUUUCACUAUCAGUCCCAAGGCCAGAGCCUGGAUAUUCCAGUUGAAGGUGCUGUAUCCAUUCGCCCCCUUCGUUCCUCUCUGUGAGCGCCACGAACCACAGCUGCUUCCAUUCAGUAAUCUUGGCCCCUCCUCCAUUCGUUUUUUCUAAACACUCCUUCUUACCUUCUGGGACUACAAGAUGCUCCACACUCAUCUUGUAUAUUUUCUGCUUCAGUCCCACAACCAGCAGUUUAUCCAAGCAGCUGUGGUUCCUUUUAUUGGAGGAUAAUACUAGAAACCAAGAUCUGGGUGCCAAGUAUGCCCAUUGCUCCUGGGUGUUGUUCUUCUCAGCCCACUGAGCUAAGAAGAAGGAAAUAUAUGCACCAGAUGAUGUACUUUAACUGCUUAAAUACACUUGUCUCUAUAUAUUUCUACAUGAGCCCAUCUCUAUCUGUGUUAAGCUAAAUAUGGGUUCAUACCGAUGUCUCCAACUCUAGUCCACUACCAUAUAGAUCAUUACAGCCUCCUUUCCUAACCUACCUGUAAACCCACACUCCCAUGACUUCCUUAACCACCAUUCAUUUACUCAGUUGUUCAAUUCUAGUAUACAUAUAUACCAGUAUCAGAAUUGUUAACCCAGACCCUGUGGAAAAUAACUGUAUUGACUACAGUUCACUGUUCAUGUGAAACUCUCUUUGCCUUCAGGCUUAUAGAGUCCACACAUUUCCAGAGUUACUAAGGUCAGCACCUUUUCCCCCUCCCACUCCCUUCAGUGCAGUGAUUUCAUGCAUUUGUAAUACAAUUACAUUCUUUUUCUUUUCUCUCCAGGCUACAUUCUGUCCUGAUAUCCACCAAACUCCUAAACAACUUUAAAAAUACCUGCACUCAUGAAGAUAUUUAAUAAUAGGGCAACUUUUCAACACUCCACCUCUUCUGUCCUGUCAACUGCUGAUCUUUCACACGGUUAUUACUAUAGCUUUGCCUUUUCCAGAAUGCAAUUUAAUUGGACUCAUACAAUCUGUAGCUUUUUCAUACUGGCUGUUUUUUGAGUGAGAUUCCUCCAUGCGUUUUCAUGACUUGAUAGUUCAUUUAUUUUUAUUGCUGAAUAAUAUUCUAUUGUAUGAAGGCACCACAAUGAGUUCAUCCAUUCACCUAUUGAAGGACAUCUUGGUUGCUUUUAGUUUGGGUGAUUAUGAAUAAAGUUUCUGUAAACAAUUUGUGUACAUCUGAUUGUGUGGACAUCAAUUUUCAAAUCAGUUGGAUAAAUAUCUAAGAGUUCGAUUGUUGGAUCAUAUGAUAAAACUGUGCUUAGCUUUGUAAGAAAACUGCCAAGCUCUUUUCCAAAGUGAGUGUACCAUUUUCAUUUCCACCAGUAAUAAAUGAGAGUUCCUGUUAUUCUGCAUUCUGGCCACCAUUUAGUAUUGUCUGAUUUUUAAAUUUUAGUCCUUCUAAAUGGUAGUAUGGCUUAUGGUGGUAUCUCAUUUUUAUUUUAACUUGCAAGUCUCUAGUGACUAAUGCUGUUGAACAUGUUUUCUUCUUAUUUUUUCUCCUGUAUAUCUUCUUUGGUAAGGUGUCUGUUGAGACUUUUCGACCAUUUUCUAACUGGGUUUUCGUUUUGUUAUUUUUGAGUUUCAAGGGUUCUUUGUAUUUUUGGAUACAAUUUCUUUAUUUGAUCAUGUUUUGCAGAUAUGGUCUUCCAGUGUGUAGCUUGUCUUUCUAUUAUCUUAACAGCCUCUUUGGCAGAGCAGAAGUUUUUUAUUUUAAUGGAGUUCAAUUUGUCAAUAUUUUCUUUCAUGGAUUAUGCUUUUGAUAUUAUAUUAAUACACUCAUCACCAAAACCAAG